CCUGCCCCUAGAGGCGUUGCAGGUGUGGCUCCUGUGUCACAUGUCUGUAAGUGGCUGAGAAGAGAGAGGCUAUGUCUACGCUCAGUGUUCUGCACUAUGGACAUCUGAAUGAUUUGUAGUCUAAUGUU
ensembl:snoRNA Gm23608 predicted gene, 23608